AUGCUCCGUCAAACUACAGGGGAGAUGCUGAAAUUUAGGCGAAUGUCAAGAAGCUCAAAUGGAAGGCAAAAAAUUCGUAAACGGGUGGUAAAAAAAGAGGUGUCCAGCAUUGUAAGUGAUCGGCGUAAAGCUGUGGUGGAGAACAUCACUCAAGAACUUGCUACAAAGUUGUCCCCAAGCAUUGUCUCUCUUGCUUCAUUUGAUGGAGACAAAAUGCAUUUUAGAAGCACGGGCAUAGUUCUUGCAAACAGUUCAUCUGGUGGUGCAUGUGUUCUGACCUCGUCAGCUUUGGUUAGCACAUCAGAUAAGGAACGCAUGCUUACCCCUGCACUUAAGAUAAAAUUGCGCCUUCCCAAUAACGAAGUUGUUGGUGGCUGGAUAAAACGUUAUCGUUUGCCUUGCAGUAUGGUUGUUAUUGAAACUAGAUUCUCCCCUGAUCUUCGUGCAGCAUGUCUCAAUAAGACCGUGCAAGUCGAGCCCCAUAGUCAGUUAUUAGCUGUAAAGCAUUGUUUCCACUCAGGCAAAUUAAUGGAUACACGUGGGGAACUGAUUGAUGGUCCAAGUGAAGUUGACAGUGAAGGGUUUAUGUUCUCAACAUGCAAAAUUACUAUGGAUGGAAGUGGUGGUCCACUUGUUGAUUUUGAUGGGAACAUUGUUGGGAUGAAUGACUAUCAUGAUCAGAAAUUUACUCGAUAUGUACCAACAAAUAAAAUUCUUGAAUCUUUGAGGGAUAUUUGGUUAUGUGUGGAUGAAAUGGAAGACUUGUGCAUUACCUUUAAGCCCUUUCGCUUUACAGAAGGUUGCUCAUCUCGAGUGCAAGGUAGCUUGAAUCAAACAUGCUCUACUGGGAGAAGUGGUGACAAAAGGAAACGUAAAGAUUUUGCAUCUUCCAUCCCUAAGCCACAAGAAUUCAUCGAGGAUGAACAUACACCAGAAUUCACUGUUGAUGAACAUAAGCAUCCGACUAUUCAUCCUUGGCCAUCCAGUGAGUUCACAAAGGUGGUAAAUGAUAUCUUAAGAUCUGAUGGUUAUCCCUUGCCAGCUUAUGCUGAUCGAGGCAUGCAUUUGGAAGGUGAUUUUGAAGAGGAAUUUGGCAUAGCCAUGUGGAGUGAACCCACUAGAAAAGUUGCUUCAAUGAAGUCUUGGGGUGUUGUCGCACUUGCUUCGUUCAAUGGCAAGGAAAGACAUUUUGCUUGCACAGGUGUAUCUGUAGACUGUAAUGAGUCAACCUCAAUAAUUCUGACUUCAGCAAGUUUGGUUAGAACUUCUGGUGAUGAAAACAAGAUUAUUGAUAACUUAAGGAUUGAAGUAUGUCUUCCAAUGGAACAACGUAUCAUAGGAACAUUACAACACUAUGAUUUAAGCUACAAUGUUGCUGUUGUCAGCAUCCCGAAUUCUUGCAAAAAUCAUGCGGCAAUAAUCUUUGAAGAACCUCAAACUAAGGUAGUAGUAGCUCUUGGGCGCGCCUUUAAAUCUGGGAACUUGAUGGCCACAGAUGGGUCAGUGACUGGAGGACGAAACAAAUUUGAUUGCAGAGAGCUUAAGUUCUCCACUUGUAAAAUCACUAAGGCUGGAAUUGGAGGUCCCCUCUUUGAUUUGAAUGGGAACUUUGUUGGCAUGAACUUCUAUGACUCGGAUGGAACUCCUUACCUACCAAGUGACAUAAUUCAGAAUCUAUUGAGGAGUUUUUAUGCAGAGCGGACUGCUGCUGCUGGAAUUACAGAGAAGCCUAAUUAUCGUUGGCCGGUCCCUAAGCCAUAUUGGUAUUAUCCGAGUCGUCACCCGAAGCGUGAGCCAAAACCUACAUUAUUUGAUUAA
rnacentral:rRNA from 1 species